CACGGAAGCCGCAGCGGAUGGUAAAGCCCCGGAGGCUGCAAAAAGUUGCCCUGUAAUUACUCGCCUCGGAGCCGGCUGACGAGUACCCCGCAGAAGCGGCCAACGCGGCCGUUUAAGGAAACGAGGAGAAAUCUCACCUGCGCUCCGCGGUCAGGGAACCUUCGUUAAGGUGGAGAGAGGGGGAUGCAUUCAUCCAACAAAGGCAGCUAUAGCAGAAGUGCUACGUCAGUGCUUUGACCAGAGAUGAAGCACCUGGAGGAAGGCAGGGCCAGCCCAGAGGAGCUCAACUGCAAUGUACCUGAAUGACCAGGAGGGCUGGAGCCAGGAUCCACCUCUUCCCAGACCUCCUCAAAGGGCUGGCAGUGGAGGUGAGAGUCUCUUGCUGGAGAUCCCUGCCUACCCGAGGCCUGAAGGAGCACAGAGGAGGAAUGCGCAUCAGGAGCAUGGUCACCAUGGUGACAGCAGGGACACAGCGGGAGCGUUCCUUGAAAACAUCGGUUUGGAUCACAAUUAAUGCGGGAAAUGAACAGCUGAAGAACAGCAGAAAAACCUCUUAAAUUAUUCAGCUGGAAUAAAUUGUCAGCGGUGGUUCUGAAGCACGAGGCAGCAAUGGGGUCUUUCCUGGGAACCGCAGGAACGGCACCGCCGGAGGGCAGGCAGCACACGAGCAGCCCAGCCCUGGUUCUGCCUGUGUCCCUUUGCGAAUAAUACUCCGAGGGUGCUGUGAGCAUUUCCAAACGCUGGCACCACACCUCUCCACAAAUGCCAACUGUAAUGGUGCUCUGGAGCAGCAGAGUCAGCAAAAAUGGCAGCACUGGUCCUGGUAACACAGCCAGACCUGGCAAACUAGAAAGAAGUAACACGAGUGGUGUAACGACUGCCUGUUCUGAGCGUGCACCAAACGCCAUGGCAACUCAUCAGUAACCGCACAGCUCCUGUAGAGCUGCUCAGGACCUGCAAAGAUGCACUGCUACAGUAGGAGUAACCCCACUUUAAUUAUUAAAGCUAAAAAUUUCUGAGCUCAGUCCAAUCGUGGUGCUGUUGUGUUUCCCAGCAGUACAUGAAAGCCAGUUUGUCUCUUUCCCUGUAUUGACUCUGAAAUUACUCACUGAAUCAUUAUUUCUAAUUUUGUAGGGACUUUCUGCUGAGGGGCCGAUGCCUCAUACCAAGAAAACACAAUGCCUACAAAAAGCACUAUUUAUAUAAAACAAUUGAUGCACAACAAGAGAGACAUCAAAUUACCACCUCGGUGUUGCUUAUACAAACGCAUCGGGAGGUGCUGAUGAACCGCAGUCCCUUCUGCACGGCUCGUUCUCCCAAGCUUUGAGAGCUGUGACAAAUUACAUUAAUUCAUCUGCGCAGAUCAGACGCGUCUUUAAGCCGCUCCAUGACAGUUCCCAUCAGCCUUCCUAUUUGCCAUAAGGCCGCGUGCAUCGGCCGGGAAAAAACCUCCCCCGGCGACCGCGGAGCGCCGCGCACUGCGGGCCGCCGCCACCCGCGCCCAACCCGAGCGCUGCGCUUCAGCCGCGUGCCGCUGCUGCCACCUGGCGGCCGGAGUGCCAACCUGCAGGCGCAGCAGCGCCGCGCGCGCACGGAGCUCUUUGCGACCGAGUCAGGCCCGAAUCGCCUCGCGGCGCUCUGCAGGGCAGGCGACGAGCAUCCCCAGCAGCCCGAUGUUUACAUGAUGACGCAGAGCACUAAGGCUCAGAUGUGACAACACUGUCCCGCCAUAGGCACACGAACAGGAACUCUGAAGUAAGCAGGGCAUCAUCAUUAACAAUUGCUAUCAAGUUGCAGCACGGGACAGUUGAAAGGCAGGUGUGUGGGAGGGCCACUGAGCUGCACUGUAACACUGUGGGGCAGCAGGAGAUGAGCAAAUGGAAGACAAAGCAAAGCAGUAAUGCAUUCUGCAGCACAGAAAAUGAAGGACUCUGCCUGGUGAGAAUCACAAGGUUGGAAACGACCUACAAGAUCAUCUAGUCCAACCAUCUCCUCAUCGCCACUGCCACCACUAGCACUAAAGGAAGUUGGCCAAGCCUAAAAGCAGUCCCAUAUCUAAAGAAAACACCUUAAUUCAGUACGUAAUUUAGUAAUACACUUCUUGCAGAUAAAUGCUGUAAAGACUAUUUUGCUCUUAUGCUCAGAUUCAUGUUUGAUUGGAUGUUCCGUAGUUCUUAAGAAAAUGAAGAGUAGCACUGCUUCCAAGUGCCAUUCAUUGUGCAUGUCUAAGACAUGGAAAAUUAGGAUCCUGAUUUGAACAUCUUAAGAUCAAAAUUAUAUGGAGUAAGAGCUGUACCAAUUGUGUACACAGCGUGCUGUAAUUGCAGCUACUUCUGCAGUAAGUUCUGAUGAAUGCCUGAAACAUGCAAGGCUGAGCAGAAUGAGGUCCUCGCUUGUGCUAAAACUGAAUGAGCUUCCUGUCCAGAAAACACAGCCCCAACCUGGAGGUCAGUCUGAGUUAAUGACUUCCUGGGAAAAGGAUUUGCAGUAUUUGCUUUUACUCUUCACCUGAUGAGCAGACUUAGCAGCUGAGUACUCUCAAACACACCACUUAUAGCUGAGACUGCCUGUACCUCCAAAAGCAAACACUUUACCUCGAUUGCUGCCUCAAAAUCAUAUGGAACCUGAAUUCAAAUGUCUGAUCCCACAGCCUUCACACCUCGUUUGAACUGUGAGAAUGGAGGAGGCAGUGAGAUCUGUUACCAGGUGUUUUUCUAAAACCAUACAACAGUUUGGUUGAAAGGGACCUCAGAGGGCUCCUACCAUGGAGCCCCCCGGGUCAGGGCCCUAUCUGCAUCCUGGGGCUGCUCCUCCAGAGAUGAGGCAGCACAGCUGCAACCCCAGGGCUCCCUGAAGUUCUUUCUCUCCCAAGUGAAGUCCACGUUCUUUGGGUAAAUGCAGCAGAGGAGGGUGAUGGCAGUGCCAUCUGCUGGGCCACAAGCACUAUGGAACAACGAAAGACAGCGAAGAAAAAAAACGAAUUCAGCCCUUCUGAUGAGGGUGUGAGAGGAGUGCGAUAUCCGCCCAGAGAUGCUGCUCCCUCAGCUGCUCACCCUUGCACCAAGUUGAGGAGUGCACUGCUUGCCCCUGAGCUCCAGAGAUCACCCCUGGGCCAGGCUGUGACACAGCAGAUCCCACAGAGUAACUUUAUGGCUGCAAUAGUCAGCUUUUAACUUCAAAGUCGCCCAUCUGUCAGGUUUGUAAAUAUUUAUAUUCCUCUUUAAAGGUACAUCUUAACUGUUUACCUUUAAAUCUUGACAUUGCCUCACACCACAAAGUUUAACUUAACAACCUUGGGCUGAUACUGCUCCAUACACGAGGAACUGUCAAGAGUUUCACGCCGCAUAACAACUAGAUUUCAUGUCUCACACAGUGAGAACUGCUCACAACCUGCAGCUCUGCUGUGCUGCAGCCCGAGUCCCCCACCAUCAAGCCCUGUGCCACCACCCUGACUGUAAAAUGCCCACAGCUCUGAGCCAGGUGUGCUGCCCACUGUGCGGCUGUGCUCCGAGAGGCAGCUGGGGCAGCACAGCUCUGCUUUGUUCUCAUCAGAUUAACACUGCUGCAUAUCUUUUCCUCACCCAUAGAGUCAAAAUAAAGAUGUCCCAGUUCAUUCACGAGGUGUAUUUUGACGGCCACUGGCUGGUUUGAACAAACGAUUCAUUCCUCUCCUUGCAAACUCUUAGGGAAAGCAUUCUUCUCACCCUGCCCAGCCCCAGCUUUGUGCCCUGCGGGGAGGCGGCGCUCCUCACUGCAGGGCCGGGCAAUGGGGCACAGCCUCCGGGCUGCAGGGCCGGAUGGCCUCAGAGCCGCCGAGUGCAGCCCCAGCGCCGGGCACCUUGCGGGGACCGAUGCGGCCACACUUUGUGCCAGCAGGCGGCUCUCCAGUACGGACAGGACCCGGCUGCAGCUGAAGGCCCUUCCUGGUUUCACUUGUUUGGUGUCGGUUACAAGGCAGAAUAUUUAUGUUGUUUGUACUUGAUGGACGUAGAGGUUGGAGUUGCCUUUUUACUGUUCAAUAAAAGUUACAGUUUCGUUGUUAUUGUAGUAUUUUGUUAUUGCUGCACCCAAAAGCGCAGGGAAACAACCCAGAGGGCUCCCUUUUCCAGCAAACGCGUCCCUGACGCCGAGCAGCGGCUCGCCGCCCCGGGCACGGCGCGCAGCAGCGAAUGGCGCUGCGGGUCCCGCUGGGCGCGGUGCGGUGCAGUCAGAGCCUUCGGGCCCGGUCGCGACCGCCCCAUCCCGGCGGUGCCGGGCAGCCCCUCCCGCUGCGCGCCCGGGGAAAGAGAAAGCGAAAGGGAACGAAAGCGAAAGGACGGGCAGGGAGCGAUGGGCUGCGCAGCGUGGCUGGCGGCCGGCUGCCUUCUGAGCGCCGUAAUCACAAGGACCCCGAACGGCAUUGCUUCUGCAGAGCCGGGGCUCAGGAGGAGCCUGCAACUUCCCUGCGUAUUUGAAAUGAGAAAAACCAUUCCCCUGUCCAACGAAACAGAGACCGUGCUGCUGAACGUCAGGCUGCUGCUGCCUGUGGCUGGAGCAGAAGGUGCUCAAAGGCCUCAGACAGAAAGCCUUCCUGCAGACAACCUGCCCUCGUUCAUUGUACAAGAGCCCUCGGUGAAUAUUCUGCAGCACACAGAUGAGGAUAUCAACAUGCUUGACUGCAGGAUCAGCCAUUACUUUACAGCCAACACUCAGAUCCUCUGGCCUGGGAGGGAGGUUCGAGCCCACAGCCUGGACACCUGGUUCACUUGCACCAUAAAGCACACAGCUGGGAAAUACACAGCUACAGCCUUCCUUGUGCAAGGCCAUGAGGACAGAGAGCACCAAACUCCAGGACAGCUUCACCAGGGCAUCGCAGAGCAGACACACGUGUCAGCGGUGCUGGCGGUGCGCGCGCUGCUGCCACUGGUCCGUACGGCGCUGGGGAAGGACGCGGUGUUGGAUUGCGCCUUCGACGCCGACCCGAGGGCGGCCGUGGCCGUGCGAUGGGCGCUGCGGCAGAAGGGGCGGCCCGAGAGGCGCAUCACCACCUCCGGCGGCGGCCGCGCUGAGAUGUUCCCGCAGGAGCCCCGCGGUAACGCAUCCCUGCUGCUCCGGCGCGUGGAGCUCGGUGACGAGGGGACGUACAUCUGCGCGGUGCAGGCGGCAGCCCUCGUGCUGGAGCAGGCGAUCCUGCUGCAGAUAACAGAAAAGCCCACGGUGACCGUCAACGUGAACUCCCUAUCCCUGGUGGAAGGGGAGCAGCAGAAGCUGGUCUGUGACGUCCGCAACUACUACCCUGCAGACAUCCACGUGCAGUGGCUCCGUGAGCCGCGGGGCGCCGGGCGGCUCCCCGACACCGUGCCCAACGUCCUCACCAGCAGCCACCGGCGCAGCAGCAACGGCACCUACAGCUUCUCCAGGUUCUUCCUGCUGACAGCGACCCUGCAUGAGGACGGCCACACCUACACGUGCCGCGUGGAGCACUCCAGCCUGCAGGCACCCAUCCGCAGGAGCGUCAGCGUGGCAGUGAGAGAAGCGACCUCCAUCGCCUGGCUGCUGCUGCUGCUGCUGGGCCUCACUGGGUGUCUUGUGGCCGCACUCCAUCACCUCUACAAAGGUGAGAACAGCUUCAGGUGGGGGGAUGGGGGUGUCUGGGUUGGAGGGGAGAGGGCUAUACCGUGCAGAGCAAUUCUGUGCCAAGAUGCCCCUGAGAUGCAGUGAGGCUGCAGACCCUGCCUGUUGUCCUUUUAUUCACAGCCUUUCUUUUUUUCUGUUUUCCUUUUUGCCCACCCUAGCGAGGAGCACAACUAAGCCCAAACCUUACUAGGCGCAGUGCUCCAGCAAGGAGCAGACACGGCCCCACGAACUUCAGGUGCCAUUGGCACCGCUGGAUGCCUCAGUGCAGGAGAGCAGGGGGCUGGGGUAGGCUGAAGGUGACAGCUGUUGCUGAAUGCCAGUGUGGAUGAAGCAAUCUUCCCAGUUACUGGCAAAGGGGGAAGCUGCAAGAAUUAUUUUUGUAAUAAAGAUUGAUUUAGAGAACCCAA